UGGGGAAUAUUGCACAAUGGGGGAAACCCUGAUGCAGCGACGCCGCGUGAGCGAAGAAGGCUUUCGAGUCUUAAAGCUCUGUCCUAUGAGAAGAUAAUGACGGUAUCAUAGGAGGAAGCCCUGGCUAAAUACGUGCCAGCAGCCGCGGUAAUACGUAUGGGGCGAGCGUUGUCCGGAAUUAUUGGGCGUAAAGGGUACGUAGGCGGUUUUUUAAGUCAGGUGUCAAAGCGUGGAGCUUAACUCCAUUAAGCACUUGAAACUGAAAGACUUGAGUGAAGGAGAGGAAAGUGGAAUUCCUAGUGUAGCGGUGAAAUGCGUAGAUAUUAGGAGGAAUACCGGUGGCGAAGACGACUUUCUGGACUUUUACUGACGCUCAGGUACGAAAGCGUGGGGAGCAAACAGG
rnacentral:rRNA from 1 species